rnacentral:rRNA from 1 species
GACGAACGCUGGCGGCGUGCUUAACACAUGCAAGUCGAGCGGAAAGGCCACUUCGGUGGUACUCGAGCGGCGAACGGGUGAGUAACACGCGAGUAAUCUGCCCUCUACUUCGGGAUAGCCCUGGGAAACUGGGAUUAAUACCGGAUACGACCAAUGCCUGCAUGGGUUGUUGGUGGAAAGUUUUUUCGGUGGAGGAUGUGCUCGCGGCCUACCAGCUUGUUGGUGGGGUAAUGGCCUACCAAGGCUUCGACGGGUAGCCGGCCUGAGAGGGUGACCGGCCACACAGGGACUGAGACACGGCCCAGACUCCUACGGGAGGAAGCAGUGGGGAAUAUUGGACAAUGGGCGGAAGCCUGAUCCAGCAACGCCGCGUGAGGGAUGACGGCCUUCGGGUUGCAAACCUCUUUCAGCGGGGACGAAGCGCAAGUGACGGUACCCGCAGAAGAAGCACCGGCCAACUACGUGCCAGCAGCCGCGGUAACAC